GGCCGUUGUGUCUCUGUAGUGGAAUGGAUAGCACGUUGGACUUCUAAUCCAAAGGCCGUGGGUUCGAUUCCCACCUAGAAUGGCCU